rnacentral:rRNA from 1 species
CUACGGGACGCUCCAGUGGGGAAUAUUGCACAAUGGGGGAAACCCUGAUGCAGCAACGCCGCGUGGAGGAUGACGCAUUUCGGUGUGUAAACUCCUUUUAUAUAGGAAGAUAAUGACGGUACUAUAUGAAUAAGCACCGGCUAACUCCGUGCCAGCAGCCGCGGUAGAUACGGAGGGUGCAAGCGUUACUCGGAAUCACUGGGCGUAAAGCGCGCGCAGGCGGCCCCUUAAGUUGGAUGUGAAAGCCUACGGCUUAACCGUAGAACUGCAUCCAAAACUGAGGGGCUAGAGUCUGGGAGGGGAAGAUGGAAUUAGUUGUGUAGGGGUAAAAUCCGUAGAGAUAACUAGGAAUACCAAAAGCGAAGGCGAUCUUCUGGAACAGUACUGACGCUGAGGCGCGAAAGCGUGGGGAGCAAACAGGAUUAGAUACCCCGGUAGUC